UACCUGGUUGAUCCUGCCAGCAGUCAUAUGCUUGUCUCAAAGAUUAAGCCAUGCAUGUGCAAUGUGGCACCCCGGCUCAGAGAAACCGGAACGCCCCGUAUUCCAGCCCAGAGAUCGAGGAGAAGUCUUCUGGAAUACGGCAUUGCUUAGCAUAGAACAAAUCAGCUCUUUAUUAAAAUCUAUAUGGGUACAAUUGGAUUACUUCGGCACGGCGACAAUACACCUGCCACAGUUGCUCCAAGCAAGCAGCAGAACAACACGAUGUAGCGGAAUGACUACUGGUAGCGGAAAAGCGACGACGGCGGUGAACUCCAGUCCGCAGGGACUCUGGCUGGAACGCUUAUCCAAGAGCGCAAACAAGGGGUCCACGGCAAACAAGCAAUCAUAUCUGGCAUGACCUACAAACUGGCAUGACACGCCAGGUCAGUACAUUGAAUGUACUUGCAAGCUCACAGCAACCAAAGCAAUCAAGACAAGCAAUAGCAUGGCAAUUAUAGAUUAUUAAGCAAUGAUUAACAUGAUUCUAUCAGAUCAACCAUAGCAUGGGCAAGAUGAUACAUCUAGAACAAUACGAGCAUGGCAUAAACAUAUGAACAUGAUGAGACUAGCAUGCCACAUGAUGAACUAUCAUGCACCAACUUACUCUGUUCGGGUUACAUCGUAACCACCACAUGUAUCACUUACCAUCACGGACAUCACACGAUCAUCUCAGGAUCCAAUCAAGCUUGGUAUUAACAAUACCGUAGUAAUCAUACAUGACCACAAGGAGCUUGAUCUUUACCCUUGACUCUCGCAUAACACCCCAAAUAUCCAACGAGUCGGUAUCCACGAUACCACAGUGAUCCUCUCACGAUCACAUAAGUAUCAACCAACUUCUUUCAUCAUCGAACCGGGGUUGUUAUUAAUCAAAUUAUUAUUACUAUUACUGUUGACCCAUAGUGUGACCGACAUGAACUGGGCACAUAUCCGCGGGCGCGGCUAUCGAUAGAUUAAACGCACACUCUGCAGAGGUUAGCACACUGUACCCACACCACGGAACCCAUGGUCUCGCACUCCCAUACGUGCGGACACGACGUUCUGACAAAACCGACCUACUGCCAUGACACUCUCCCGGCCACUCCGACAAGCUCCCCUUUGGGCUAAGUCCUGGGUAGCUAUGCGGAGCCAUCCCUCCGCAGCUAGCUUCUUAGAGGGACUAUCGCCGUUUAGGCGACGGAAGUUUGAGGCAAUAACAGGUCUGUGAUGCCCUUAGAUGUUCUGGGCCGCACGCGCGCUACACUGAUGUAUUCAACGAGUAUAUAGCCUUGGCCGACAGGCCCGGGUAAUCUUGGGAAAUUUCAUCGUGAUGGGGAUAGAUCAUUGCAAUUGUUGGUCUUCAACGAGGAAUGCCUAGUAAGCGCGAGUCAUCAGCUCGCGGUGACUACGUCCCUGCCCUUUGUACACACCGCCCGUCGCUAUUACCGAUCGAAUGGUCCGGUGAAGUGUUCGGAUCGCGGCGACGGGGGCGGUUCGCCGCCUCCGACGUCGCGAGAAGUCCAUUGAACCUUAUCAUUUAGAGGAAGGAGAAGGCGUAACAAGGUUUCCGUAGGUGAACCUGCGGAAGGAUCAUUG
rnacentral:rRNA from 1 species